CAGGGAUUGCCCUAGUAACGGCGAGUGAAGCGGCAACAGCUCAAAUUUGAAAUCUGGCUCUUUCAGAGUCCGAGUUGUAAUUUGCAGAGGGCGCUUUGGCUUUGGCAGCGGUCCAAGUUCCUUGGAACAGGACGUCACAGAGGGUGAGAAUCCCGUACGUGGUCGCUAGCUAUUGCCGUGUAAAGCCCCUUCGACGAGUCGAGUUGUUUGGGAAUGCAGCUCUAAAUGGGAGGUAAAUUUCUUCUAAAGCUAAAUACUGGCCAGAGACCGAUAGCGCACAAGUAGAGUGAUCGAAAGAUGAAAAGCACUUUGGAAAGAGAGUCAAACAGCACGUGAAAUUGUUGAAAGGGAAGCGCUUGCAGCCAGACUUGCUUGCAGUUGCUCAUCCGGGCUUUUGCCCGGUGCACUCUUCUGCAGGCAGGCCAGCAUCAGUUUGGGCGGUGGGAUAAAGGUCUCUGACACGUUCCUUCCUUCGGGUUGGCCAUAUAGGGGAGACGUCAUACCACCAGCCUGGACUGAGGUCCGCGCAUCUGCUAGGAUGCUGGCGUAAUGGCUGUAAGCGGCCCGUCUUGAAACACGGACCAAGGAGUCUAACAUCUAUGCGAGUGUUUGGGUGUCAAGCCCGAGCGCGUAAUGAAAGUGAACGGAGGUGGGAACCCGCAAGGGCGCACCAUCGACCGAUCCUGAAGUUUACGGAAGGAUUUGAGUAAGAGCAUGGCUGUUGGGACCCGAAAGAUGGUGAACUAUGCUUGAAUAGGGUGAAGCCAGAGGAAACUCUGGUGGAGGCUCGCAGCGGUUCUGACGUGCAAAUCGAUCGUCAAAUUUGGGCAUAGGGGCGAAAGACU
rnacentral:rRNA from 1 species